rnacentral:rRNA from 1 species
UACGGGGGGGGCAAGCGUUAUUCAGUAUGACUGGGCGUAAAGGGUCUGUAGGCGGCAAGUUUAGUUGUUGGGAAAAUGUUAGGGCACAACCCUAAAAAACUUACAAAACGUACUUUGCUAGAGUAAUAAAGGGGAUAAUAGAACUUCUGGAGUAGGGAUGAAAUCCAGUGACAGCAGAAGGAAUUUCAACGGCGAAAGCAAUUAUCUGGCUAUUACUGACGUUGAGAGACGAAGGCAUGGGUAGCGAAUGGGG